GCCGCCAUCGCAUAACGGUAUUGCACCGGAUUGCUAAAUUUUGCAGACAUCCGGGCCCUUCGGGGCGCCUGGGUUCAACUCCCAGUGGCGGCG
rnacentral:tRNA from 1 species